UAAAAACUAAAAAGUGCAUAUAUUCCAAAUUCAAAACGGAAAAGGGUGAUUUCAUUAGAAAAUUGGCAUGGGAAAACAGAGAUUUACAUACAACACCACCAUAAUUCAUACACAAUAAUUAGCCACGGAAGAAACAUGACGUGCGCUUCAAGUAUUAAGAAUAGGGUCUUGUUAUCAUUUCAAGACUCCGCAGUCCGCAUAUCACUGGAAAAUUGGACUUAACUAAACAAGGGUACUGCCUUUAACAAACUCAGUGACAGCCAAAGCAACAAGACCCAUCAUAGCGAACCUCCCAUUCCACAACUCAGCAUCCGAAGUCAUGAACCCAUCCGAUUUAGACUCCACGCUGACACCUUUAAACAAUGGAACCAGGGACGCAACCGAAAGCAGAACACUGGUCCCCAAGAACCAGGCAACUCCACCGUCAGAUAACUGGGCAAACACAUCCUGACCCUUGGAUAGCUCCACCGCCAAUGCAGCCACGAACCCAACCAUCGCAAGCCUCCCGUUUAUCCUCUCCGGUGCCGGCCCGCUGAACGCCAAUACGUCAGAGAACUUCGUGCUUAUACGCGGUCGCUUGGGUGGCUGAGUUGAUUGAUCCUUCUGCUGCUCAUUCUACAAAAUUGUUAUUGCACCCAUGCAAUUAGUGUAAAGUCUCUAGUUCUCAAGCAAAAGUAAAAAAUAAAUAUAAAGUAGAACUCUAGCCUUUACUUACCUUAGCCAUGCAGCGCACUGAUAAGCUAACAUUUCUCUGCAGAGUACCAGGUAAGUACUUAACAGAGGAAAAUUGGUUCACCCCAGAUUUCCUGAUGCCAGUAAUACGAGCUGCGGCGACAGAGCUUCCAAGCAUAGAUUGAGUGGCGAGUGAAGCAGCCAUUUUUGUAGAUUAUGCAACGGAGGAAUAAUUUAGCAACUGGGAGUUUUUAGGUUAAUGGGCGCCUUCCUUGCAAUUUGAUGAUCAGUGAGAGCAUACGUUGCAUGGUAUUUAUAGUAAGUAACAAAGUGUGGGGAGGGGAAGAGAGUGAUGGAUAUUUAGGUUCCACGUAGUCUAGAUCUUUCGCCAAAAGUUACUUGGUUCACGUGACUUCGCUGGUCCACAUAGGUGAUGGAGCUUGGGACGUGGCCUGGUUACACUCACCAGAUGGGGAUCUUGUGAAUCUGAGGCCAACGUUGUUCCUAGGUUUCGAGUUAGGUCACGACUACGACUAGGGCAUUCUAGUCAUCUCAUCUUAUGUCGCCACGUGCUCAUAGCUGGUCCUAACUUGAACUCGGAAACAAAAUUUGACACUAAAUUGUUUGUUUCUUCCUUUAGCUAGCUGGCAGCAACGUAGCUUGUUUGCUUGUGUGUUUUUUUUGCAGUCUGUAGCGAUCAACUUGGCAAAAGUUAUUCCGUGCUUUCGAGGUGCAUGGCGCCUGCAAGUCGAUGAGUUUCACCUCCCUCCCGUAUAUUUAUUCGGAUUCAAUUUUAUAUUAUAUGUAAUUUUAAUUUCUAAUUAAUUUCAUUCGAAUAUAACUGGAUGUUCCGAUUUAUCCAAAACCAAGAAUAACAAUUCAAUUCACGUAACUAUAUAUUCUGGUUACAAAUGAGUGUCAAUUUAUUCGAUUGGUAAAAUCUCUUAAAUCAUUUAUGUCAUGUUAAAUACAGUGAUAAUUUUAUAAAUAAAUGAAAAUCAAGCCUUGAUAAUCUACCUGAUCGAAUUAAUAUCAUCUUUGACAUUGUUUAAAUUAGUUUAUUCUCGAAAGAUAGUCAAUUUAUGAAUGACAAAAUCUAAAUUUAAGUGUAGGUGCAUCCAAAAUAUGAAUCCACAUUAAUAUUUCAGGAUUCAGAAGUUGGUAAAUUUAUAAAGAUUCUAAGUGGAUGUUCUUGAUUUCUGGAUCCGCACAUUUAAAACAUUUAUUUACAAAACUAUAGCAUUUUACCUAUAUAAAAAAUAAAAAAAAUAAUAAUCAUCCAAUACUAAACAAAUCUAGAAUAAUUAUUAAUUAUUUAGUAUAAGUGUUUAUUUAAUCUUAUAAGCUCUUAUCAUAGUUUUUUUUUGGUUAUUUUUCUAAUAAAGAUUUUGAAGCUUAAAUAAGAUAUUUUAUCUCUACUAGUAAAAACUCAAAUUUUAAACUUUUUAGAAUAGAGGUUGAAAAACUUUUUUUAAAUAUUAAAAUAUCUAAAAUAUCCUCUAAUUAUUUGAAAAUAAUAUUUUAUUUUUUUAUAACAUAACUUUAAAAAACUUAUUUAUUAAAAUAAUUUCAUAAAUUUUUAAUAAAAAAUUUUAUUGACAACCAAACAACUAGAAUUUUUAUAAUAAAAAAUUUUGUUAACCAAAGCUCUACUUAAGUAAUCUCUACUUAAAAAAUUGUACCAAACGGAGCCCAAGAAAGACUCUUUAUUUUCUUCAUAUUUUAGUAUUCGGAAUUUCCUCCUCAAACUCAAGGUUUAGCUAUUACUAUAAAUUUUAAUGUCACGAAGGUUAAUUCUCGAGCAAUAAAUCAAACUUUCAGCCAUCGCCAAAUUCGGAGGUCAAUUCCUUCGAAGCGAUUAAAAUUAAUUUUCUUAAUUUUACUUCAGCUUUUCAGUUAGAGCCAUAUGAUCCUAAUAAUAGUUUAGCUGGUUGGCUUCUUCCCUUAUAAAGCAGUAACAACAUUCAGUUUCUGCAAAUGAGAAUUCAGAGAACAGAGAUCUGCUCAAACUCAGGAUUGCACCAUACCUCUAGAUGAGCUCAUAUCUCCAACAUAAACAACAUAUGAAACCACCAAAAAAUAAAAUAAAAUGUUAAGCUUCCAUAAAUACUUCACUUUAUCCACUUGCAACUAUUUCUUAUUCACUUAACUUUUCUGCUUUAAAAAUGAUCCGAUGUUGUUGCGUUAAUUACUGUUUAAUAUAAUUAAUGAAUAUUAACUUUAAAAUUGCCGGCUCCCUGAGUGCAACACAACUUGCAUAGAAGAAUUUUGCGGCCAUGGUCAAAAGAUUACAAGUAUUCCACAACUGGGUGUGGCACUCUUGGGCUCGUAUCAAUGAACUUGAGGGCACAAGUUUUAAGUUUCAACUCUAGCUUUGUACUAAUCAUGAAUACGAGUAGAGUACACAUCUUUUUAAUCUACAAAAAGAUAUAUCUCAAUAUUGUAAUAAAUUUCUGAACUAUCAUAAUAAUAUUAAUCCAUUUUGGUUCCAGUAAACUUAUGACUGUAUGAUUAGGUAUUAGUUAGUAAUAAAAGGAAAAAAAAACUGGAAAAUGGUGGUUGAAUUACAGAAUGGCAUGAGAAAUAGAGAUUUAUUUACAGUAGGAUCGCAUACAUUAAUUAGUUAAAAAAAGAUACAGAUCUACAGAUCUAAACAAAAUUAAGCUUAAACAAGGGUGCCACCCUUAACAAACUCGGUGAAAGCCAAAGCAACAAGGCCCAGCAUAGCAAACCUCCCAUUCCACAACUCAGCAUCCGAAGUCAUGAACCCAUCCGAUUUAGACUCCACGCUGACACCUUUAAACAAAGGAACCAGGGACGCAACCGUGAGCAAAACACUGGUCCCCAAGAACCAGGCAACCCCACCGUCUGAUAGCUGGGCAAACACAUCCUGACCCUUGGAUAGCUCCACCCCCAAUGCAGCCACGAAGCCAAUCAUCGCAAGCCUCCCGUUUAUCCUCUCCGGUGCCGGCCCGCUGAACGCAAACACGUCAGAGAACCCCGUGCUCAUCCGCGGCUUCUUUGGUGGCUGAGGCUCAGCUUUCGGUAUGGUUGGUUGAUCAUCUUUCUGCUGCUC
rnacentral:lncRNA from 1 species